rnacentral:rRNA from 1 species
UUGGUUAAGUCCUCGACCGAUUAGUAUUGGUCCGCUCCAUACAUCGCUGUACUUCCACUCCCAACCUAUCUACCUGAUCAUCUCUCAGGGGUCUUACUCACUUAAAGUGAUGGGAAAUCUCAUCUUGAGGGGGGCUUCACGCUUAGAUGCUUUCAGCGUUUAUCCCGUCCACACAUAGCUACCCAGCGAUGCUCUUGGCAGAACAACUGGUACACCAGCGGUGUGUCCAUCCCGGUCCUCUCGUACUAAGGACAGCUCCUCUCAAAUUUCCAACGCCCGCGACGGAUAGGGACCGAACUGUCUCACGACGUUCUGAACCCAGCUCGCGUACCGCUUUAAUGGGCGAACAGCCCAACCCUUGGGACCGACUACAGCCCCAGGAUGCGAUGAGCCGACAUCGAGGUGCCAAACCUCCCCGUCGAUGUGAACUCUUGGGGGAGAUAAGCCUGUUAUCCCCAGGGUAGCUUUUAUCCGUUGAGCGAUGGCCCUUCCAUGCGGAACCACCGGAUCACUAAGCCCGACUUUCGUCCCUGCUCGACUUGUAGGUCUCACAGUCAAGCUCCCUUCUGCCUUUACACUCUACGAAUGAUUUCCAACCAUUCUGAGGGAACCUUUGGGCGCCUCCGUUACAUUUUUGGAGGCGACCGCCCCAGUCAAACUGCCCGUCUGACACUGUCUCCCUGCUCGCUAAGAGCAGCGGGUUAGAGUGGUCAUAUCACAAGGGUAGUAUCCCACCGUUGCCUCCUCCGAGACUGGCGUCCCGGUAUCAUUGGCUCCUACCUAUCCUGUACAUGUGAUACAAACACGCAAUAUCAAACUGCAGUAAAGCUCCAUGGGGUCUUUCCGUCCUGUCGCGGGUAACCAGCAUCUUCACUGGUACUAUAAUUUCACCGAGUCUCUCGUUGAGACAGUGCCCAAAUCGUUACGCCUUUCGUGCGGGUCGGAACUUACCCGACAAGGAAUUUCGCUACCUUAGGACCGUUAUAGUUACGGCCGCCGUUUACUGGGGCUUCAAUUCAAAGCUUCGCUUGCGCUAACCUCUCCUCUUAACCUUCCAGCACCGGGCAGGCGUCAGCCCCUAUACGUCAUCUUUCGAUUUUGCAGAGACCUGUGUUUUUGAUAAACAGUCGCUUGGGCCUAUUCACUGCGGCUGACCUUGCGGUCAGCACCCCUUCUCCCGAAGUUACGGGGUCAUUUUGCCGAGUUCCUUAACGAGAGUUCUCUCGCACACCUUAGGAUUCUCUCCUCAACUACCUGUGUCGGUUUGCGGUACGGGCAGUUACUUUCUCACUAGAAGCUUUUCUUGGCAGUGUGACAUCAGGAACUUCGCUACUAAAUUUCGCUCCCCAUCACAACUUGUCCUUGAGAGAAAAAGCAUUUCACUCGUUCUCAGACUUGUUGCUUGGACACACAUUUCCGAUCGUGUGCAUUCCUUAGCCUCCUGCGUCCCUCCAUCGCUCAAACAAAAGCAACUGGUACAGGAAUAUCAACCUGUUGUCCAUCGCCUACGCCUAUCGGCCUCAGCUUAGGUCCCGACUAACCCUGGGAGGACGAGCCUUCCCCAGGAAACCUUAGUUAUUCGGUGGACGGGAUUCUCACCCGUCUUGCGCUACUCAUACCGGCAUUCUCACUUCUAAGCGCUCCACCAGUCCUCACGAUCUGGCUUCGAUGCCCUUAGAACGCUCUCCUACCACGGAACCCUAAGGUUCCAUCCACAGCUUCGGUGAUCUGUUUAGCCCCGGUAAAUUUUCGGCGCAGGGUCACUCGACUAGUGAGCUAUUACGCACUCUUUAAAUGAUGGCUGCUUCUGAGCCAACAUCCUAGUUGUCUGUGCAACCCCACAUCCUUUUCCACUUAACAGAUACUUUGGGACCUUAGCUGGUGGUCUGGGCUGUUUCCCUUUUGACUACGGAUCUUAUCACUCGCAGUCUGACUCCCGGAUCUAAAUCAAUGGCAUUCGGAGUUUAUCUGAAUUCGGUAACCCGAGAAGGGCCCCUAGUCCAAACAGUGCUCUACCUCCAUGAUUCGCAUAUCCGAGGCUAGCCCUAAAGCUAUUUCGGAGAGAACCAGCUAUCUCCAAGUUCGAUUGGAAUUUCUCCGCUACCCACACCUCAUCCCCGCACUUUUCAACGUGCGUGGGUUCGGUCCUCCAGUGCGUAUUACCGCACCUUCAACCUGGACAUGGGUAGGUCACUUGGUUUCGGGUCUACGACCUCAUACUUAUUCGCCCUAUUCAGACUCGCUUUCGCUGCGGCUCCGUCUUUUCAACUUAACCUCGCAUGAAAUCGUAACUCGCCGGUCCAUUCUACAAAAGGUACGCCAUCACCCAUUAACGGGCUUUGACUACUUGUAGGCACACGGUUUCAGGUACUGUUUCACUCCCCUUCCGGGGUGCUUUUCACCUUUCCCUCACGGUACUGGUUCACUAUCGGUCACUAGGGAGUAUUUAGCCUUGGGAGAUGGUCCUCCCGGAUUCCGACGGAAUUUCUCGUGUUCCGCCGUACUCAGGAUACUGGUAGAGCUGNNNNNNNNNNNNNNNNNNNNNNNNNNNNNNNNNNNNNNNNNNNNNNNNNNNNNNNNNNNNNNNNNNNNNNNNCAACUUAACCUCGCAUGAAAUCGUAACUCGCCGGUCCAUUCUACAAAAGGUACGCCAUCACCCAUUAACGGGCUUUGACUACUUGUAGGCACACGGUUUCAGGUACUGUUUCACUCCCCUUCCGGGGUGCUUUUCACCUUUCCCUCACGGUACUGGUUCACUAUCGGUCACUAGGGAGUAUUUAGCCUUGGGAGAUGGUCCUCCCGGAUUCCGACGGAAUUUCUCGUGUUCCGCCGUACUCAGGAUACUGGUAGAGCUGUUUUGGAUUUCGCAUACGGGGCUAUUACCCUAUGUUGCGCAACUUUCCAGUUGGCUUCUGCUAUCCAUUGCAGUCUCAUGUCCCAGUCCUACAACCCCAAAGAGCAAGCUCUUUGGUUUGGGCUUUUCCCGUUUCGCUCGCCGCUACUAAGGGAAUCGAAUUUUCUUUCUCUUCCUGCAGGUAAUGAGAUGUUUCAGUUCCCUGCGUGUUCCUCGAUACACCUAUGUAUUCAGUGUAACGUAAUAUCCUAUCAAAGAUAUUGGGUUGCCCCAUUCGGAAAUCUCCGGAUCAAAGCUUACUUACAGCUCCCCGGAGCAUAUCGGUGUUAGUCCCGUCCUUCAUCGGCUCCUAGUGCCUAGGCAUCCACCGUGCGCCCUUAUUCACUUAA